AACGAACGCUGGCGGCAGGCUUAACACAUGCAAGUCGAACGCCCCGCAAGGGGAGUGGCAGACGGGGUAGUAACGCGUGGGAAUCUACCCAGAUCUUCGGAACAACUGAGGGAACCUUCAGCUAAUACCGGAUACGCCCUACGGGGGAAAGAUUUAUCGGUUCUGGAUGAGCCCGCGUUGGAUUAGCUAGUUGGUGGGGUAAUGGCCUACCAAGGCGACGAUCCAUAGCUGGUCUGAGAGGAUGAUCAGCCACACUGGGACUGAGACACGGCCCAGACUCCUACGGGAGGCAGCAGUGGGGAAUAUUGGACAAUGGGCGAAAGCCUGAUCCAGCCAUGCCGCGAGAGUGAUGAAGGCCUUAGGGUUGUAAAGCUCUUUCAGUGGGGAAGAUAAUGACGGUACCCACAGAAGAAGCCCCGGCUAACUUCGUGCCAGCAGCCGCAGUAA
rnacentral:rRNA from 1 species